UACGUAGGCAGCAAGCGUUGUUCGGAGUUACUGGGCGUAAAGGGUGUGUAGGCGGUUGUUUAAGUUUGGUGUGAAAUCUCCCGGCUCAACUGGGAGGGUGCGCCGAAUACUGAAUGACUUCGAGUGCGGGAGAGGAAAGUGGAAUUCCUGGUGUAGCGGUGAAAUGCGUAGAUAUCAGGAGGAACACCGGUGGUGUAGACGGCUUUCUGGACCAACACUGACACUGAUGAGCGAAAGCCAGGGGAGCAAACGGG
rnacentral:rRNA from 1 species